GGUUCAGGAUGAACGCUAGCUACAGGCUUAACACAUGCAAGUCGAGGGGCAGCAUAUCGAAAGCUUGCUUUGAUGAUGGCGACCGGCGCACGGGUGAGUAACGCGUAUCCAACCUUCCCUAUACUAGAGGAUAGACCCGGCGAAAAGUCGGAUUAAUACUCUAUGUUCUUCGUAGAAGACAUCUGAAAUGAAGCAAAGGUUUACCGGUAUAGGAUGGGGAUGCGUCUGAUUAGGUGUUGGCGGGUAACGGCCCACCAAGCCCACGAUCAGUAGGGGUUCUGAGAGGAAGGUCCCCCACAUUGGAACUGAGACACGGUCCAAACUCCUACGGGAGGCAGCAGUGAGGAAUAUUGGUCGAUGGACGAGAGUCUGAACCAGCCAAGUAGCCGUGCAGGAUGACGGCCCUAUGGGUUGUAAACUGCUUUUAUACAGGGAUAAAGUUCACUACGUGUAGUGUUUUGUAGGUACUGUAUGAAUAAGGACCGGCUAAUUCCGUGCCAGCCGCGGC
rnacentral:rRNA from 1 species